CCUACGGGUGGCUGCAGUGGGGAAUAUUGCACAAUGGGGGAAACCCUGAUGCAGUGACGCCGCGUGAGUGAAGAAGUAUCUCGGAUUGUAAAGCUCUAUCAGCAGGGAAGAAAAUGACGGUACCUGACUAACACGCACCUGCUAACUACGUCCCAGCAGCCGCGGUAAUACGUAGGGCGCAAGCGUUCUCCGGAUUUAAUGGGUGUACAGGGAGCGUAGACGGCGAUGCAAGUCCGGCGUGAAAGCCCAGGGCUUAACCAUGGGACUGCUGUUGAAACUGUGGAGCUUGAGUGCGUGAGAGGCAGGCGGAAUUCCAGGUGUAGCGGUGAAAUGCGUAGAUAUUAGGAGGAACACCGGCGGCGAAGGCGACCAGCUGGACCGUAACUGACGUUGAGGCUCGAAAGCGUGGGGAGCAAACAGGAUUAGAUACCCGAGUAGUC
rnacentral:rRNA from 1 species